rnacentral:tRNA from 1 species
GGGGGGUUAGUCCAAACAAGACCUCUGAUUUCGACUCAGAAAAUUGCGGCUAAAGUCCGUGGCCCCCUU